rnacentral:rRNA from 1 species
AUUGGUCAAAUCCGGUUGUCAUCAAGUGUGAGGCGUGAUGCGUAGCCCGAAUCGGGUGAUGUUGGUGAUCCUGUACUGCCGAGAAAAGCCUCUAGCGAUGUGCAUGUACGGCCCGUACCCAUAACCGACACAGGUGGUCAGGUAGAAAAUACUAAGGCGAGCGGGUGAACUGUGGUUAAGGAACUCGGCA